GCACUAGUUCUCUAGUGCAUAUACUAAAAUUGGAACGAUACAGAGAAGAUUAGCAUGGCCCCUGCGUUCCUCAUUUUCUCUUUUUAAAAUCAGUUUCAUCUAUCU
rfam:Oryzias latipes DNA, chromosome2, strain: Hd-rR.